rnacentral:lncRNA from 1 species
UGGCUGAGAGUAGAACAGGUCCAGACAGGCGCAGAGACGCCCUGCUAGGACACUCUCAGGAACACGAGACCUUUGGUUUGCUUGGUGGCCCCGCAGACUAAGGAAACCAAAGGCUAAGGCGCCCGACUACCAGCCGAUGAUUUACAUCGAGUCACUCCUGACCCCCUGGGACUCGACGGGGGGCAGGUGUGCAGAGCAGGUUUGGAAUGUGUUUGCUCACCUGUUUUCAGCGGCUGGAAACAUUCUCCCCACACCUCCUCAGAAGCCUAGCCCAACUGCUGCUAGGCUCGACGACCCCAAGGCACACUCUGCUGACCUCUAUUGACUAAUGGCGCCGGUUUCCAGGCCUCCUGCCGGAACCAGGGAAGGAGACUGGGGCAGCAGAAAGCGGUGGGCCCGAGUAGGGCUCUGUGGGACCAGGCUGGAGGUGGACCCUGGAGUUCCAGGCAUACAGAGAGAUGGGGGAGCAAAAGGGGUGAGGGGACUUCAGUUGUCAGAAAAGAGGAAAUCAGCCAAACGGAUGAGCAGUUUUUGAGACUGGAGCAGAAUUGGGAAAAUGACUCAUUUGGGAAGCCUGGAGCUCCAACUCAUUGUGUAACAAUGAACCCACCACAAAAUAUCUGUAGAUCGAAGCAAGGUGCAAUAGCAAGAGCAGAAAUAAAUACCAUUUCACGAAAACAUUUGCAGCUUAAAGACCCUGUCUGUGGACCCCCAGGGAAGUCAUGUCGUACACAGCCUGGAGAUUGUGCUCACCUGAUGGGUGAAAAACUGAGGACCAGAGAAGGUCCCCGGGUUUGUGACCCUGCACAAAACUUGG